AUGCGGCCUUGCCGUCUACUCCACCAGGCGGCCUUGUCGUCUACUCCACCAUGUCGUCUACUCCACCAGGCGGCCUUGCCGUCUACUCCACCUUGUCGUCUACUCCACCAUGUCGUCUACUCCACCAGGCGGCCUUGUCGUCUACUCCACCAGGCGGCCUUGCCAUCUACUCCACCUUGUCGUCUACUCCACCAUGUCGUCUACUCCACCAGGCGGCCUUGUCGUCUACUCCACCUUGUCGUCUACUCCACCAUGUCGUCUACUCCACCAGGCGGCCUUGCCGUCUACUCUACCAGGCGGCUUUGCCGUCAUUUUUCAGCGGACCAGGAGUGCCAACUUAGCCCAGAUGAGAACUGAGCGUCCCCUAUUUGCAAAAGUAGCACACCCAUGAACACACCCUGUACUUUCUGUCUGUUCGCUGUGGUCACCCUCAGUGGGCAGCUUCCUCNNNNNNNNNNGUCUACUCCACCAGGCGGCCUUGUCGUCUACUCCACCUUGUCGUCUACUCCACCAUGUCGUCUACUCCACCAGGCGGCCUUGCCAUCUACUCCACCUUGUCGUCUACUCCACCAUGUCGUCUACUCCACCAGGCGGCCUUGUCGUCUACUCCACCUUGUCGUCUACUCCACCAUGUCGUCUACUCCACCAGGCGGCCUUGCCGUCUACUCUACCAGGCGGCUUUGCCGUCAUUUUUCAGCGGACCAGGAGUGCCAACUUAGCCCAGAUGAGAACUGAGCGUCCCCUAUUUGCAAAAGUAGCACACCCAUGAACACACCCUGUACUUUCUGUCUGUUCGCUGUGGUCACCCUCAGUGGGCAGCUUCCUCAGUGGGCAGCUUCCUCAGUGGGCAGCUUCCUCAGUGGGCAGCUUCCUCAGUGGGCAGCUUCCUCAGUGGGCAGCUUCCUCAGUGGGCAGCCUGUGACAUGACUUCCACUUUAGGACGUUAACAAGGCGACACUCCAUCUUAACUCCUCCUCCACAUUGACUUGAUUGUUUGAACAGUACAGAAGAGAACCCCCCCGACAGUAAAAAUGUUUUUCUCGUCAGGACCAGAAAGAAGGAAACACCGCUUAGGCAUUUAUUUUCCUCCUGCAACGUUAGGUUAGCCAUCUUACAUGUCCCUUCUUAUUGGUUGAAUCAGAUGCUGUGUACCUUCCGAUUGGAUGAACCGGAAGGUGUGCCUUCGCUAUUCUUCUUGGGGCAGCAGGGUAGCCUAGUGGUUAGAGCAUUGGACUAGUAACCGGAAGGUUGCAAGUUCAAAUCCCCGAGCUGACAAGGUACAAAUCUGUCGUUCUGCCCCUGAACAGGUAGUUAACCCACUGAUCCUAGGCCGUCAUUGAAAAUAAGAAUUUGUUCUUAACUAACUUGCCUAGUUAAAUAAAGGUAAAAAUUGAUUGGAGGAGAGAUAUACUGCCACUUGGAGGGUGAUUAGUGAAGUGUGCAGAGCAUUUAAAUCUCCAUAUUUCAAGGUGAACAUGUAUCCCCCUGCUGGACAGUCAACCUAUUACAGAAAGAGCACAAGUUUAAGGUCUCGAUUCAAUCAGAUCGUUGGAGUCAUCAAAUCGGUGACAAGCUGCUCUUGCGAUCGUUAACCCUUCCUUAACCUUAUUGAGUGAAUUAAGAAGGAAUGGCGAUGUAAUUUGUAGCGAAAUGUGGUCAGACGGGAGAGUUUGAGUGAUGAAGUUGGACAGAGAAUAUCAACAUCUCUCCGCAAGAAACACUUGGAUUGUAAAAACACAUAUAUUCUGUCAAUUGAGCCUUAUUUUAUAUGUUAUAUGUGGAUAAUAGCUAUAGCUAGGCCUGUCUGUAGGAUUGAUUUGUCAUUUCAAUAGGCCUAGGCUACUAAAUACAAUCUGGGUUUAUGAUUGUAAUUCAACUUUGCCAUGGUUUGCUUAGCUAGAUGCAGGUAGCCUAUAACUCCUGAUAGGCCUGUUAGAUAGGCUACAGUAGACUAGGCAAGAUGUAAAAUGAACAAUUUACUACAGAAGCUUGCUUAGUUCAAAUUGACAGACUAAUUUAUUGAAUCUGAAUAGCGAGGAGAUUUCUGUAAAAAGUGUUUGUGUUGCCCAAUAGCCUGGAUUUGACAGCUCUAACGCAGUUCUACCUUCGAACACCUCAAAAUAAUCGCUAUGCGGAUCUGAUUGAAUCCAGCCCUAAAGUCUUUAAUAGGCUGAUUAGGAAUUUGUUCCAGGAAAUAAUCUGCCACCUGGUAAGGUUAGCAAAGGGCUAAUGUGUGCCAGGUUAUCUGAUGGGACCAGCUACAAUUUAGCAUUCUGUCACAUGACACUACAUCAACCAUUUUAAUUGGCUGAUGCUUAAACUUAACCUUGAACUUAAACUUUUUCUAAUGUUUGCCAGUAUGGGCCCAUGGUGUUUGUUAUGCAACGUUUUGUAUUCUUUAGAUAGAAAUAGCCUUUUGUAGACCAAAUAUGCCUUUGACGUGUAGAAUAAGGAAUAACAUCAACUCUGUUCAUGGCAUUUCUAUCUGCAACUGAACAGGCCCUGCAGUAACUACAAACUGUAGAGUUAACUAACCUCUGGUUGUGGCCCUGCAGUAACUACAAACUGUAGAGUUAACUAACCUCUGGUUGUGGCCCUGCAGUAACUACAAACUGUAGAGUUAACUAACCUCUGGUUGUGGCCCUGCAGUAACUACAAACUGUAGAGUUAACUAACCUCUGGUUGUGGCCCUGCAGUAACUACAAACUGUAGAGUUAACUAACCUCUGGUUGUGGCCCUGCAGUAACUACAAACUGUAGAGUUAACUA
rnacentral:lncRNA from 13 species